AAUUUCAUGCGAGUUUAAUUACACAUAACAGUACUAGUGACCCACUCAAACCAUCUUAUCCACUUCCUUAACAUAAAGCUCUCCACUCGCAUGUCUCUCUGCACUCAAUAACUCCUGACCCUUCUUCCUUCAAACAAGCUAGCAAGAUUUCAAUCUCUUCCAUGGCCAUCCCAAAUGUCUCCUCCUCCUCGUCUUCCCCUCAACGGAAUCAUGACGUGUUUCUGAGUUUCAGAGGGGAAGAUACCCGCAAUACCUUUACCGGUCAUCUAUAUAACGCUCUCGUUAUAAAGGGGAUCAAAACCUUCAGAGAUGACGUGGAUCUUCAGAAGGGAAACGAAAUCUCCCCAGUACUUUUGGAAGCCAUCGAACAAUCUAAGAUUUCCAUCAUCGUCUUCUCUAAGAACUAUGCCACUUCCACGUGGUGCUUAGAUGAACUCGUCAAGAUUCUCGACUGUCGGAAAUCAAUUGGCCAAAUGGUUCGACCCAUUUUCUACGAUGUGGGUCCUUCAGAUGUGCGGAAACAGUUUGGAGAAGUGAUGGAAUGCAUGAAAAGAAAUUCAAGGAUGAUAUGCAGAGGGUGUUGAGGUGGAAGGUGGCUCUCAAAGAGGCAGCCAAUUUGUCUGGUUGGCAUUUGAACAAUGGGCAUGAGUCCGAUUUUAUCCAGAGCAUUGUUGAAGAGAUAUCAAGUGGAAUAUUGAAGUGCACAUUUCUAGAUGUUGCGAAGAACCCAGUCGGAUUACAUUCUCACAUAGAUGCCAUGAGUGAGUUGUUGAGUGUUGGGUAUGACGACGUUCGCAUGGUUGGAAUCCAUGGAAUUGGAGGAAUAGGUAAAACAACUAUUGCAAAAGCUGUAUAUAACUUAUUUGCUGGUCAAUUUCAAAGUUUCAGCUUUCUUGCUAACGUCCGAGAAACUACAAAGCGGUGCGGCCUUGUUCAAUUACAAGAAACACUUCUAUCUGAGACGUUGGGCAAUACCAACUUAAAGGUUGGAAACGAGGAUAGAGGAAUUAAUGUAAUAAAGGAGAGGCUCUGCCAUAUGAAGGUUCUUUUAGUUCUUGAUGAUGUCAAUAAGUUGGAACAACUUGAGAAAUUAGCAGGAGAUAAGAAUUGGUUUGGUCCAGGAAGUAGAAUCAUUAUUACAACUAGAGAUCAACAUGUUCUAGAUACCCAUGGGGUAGAAAGAAAGUACGAGGUCCGAGGAUUAAGUCAUGCUGAUGCUCUUCAACUUCUUAGUUGGAAUGCAUUCAAGAAAUCUUAUCCUGAAAAAUGGUAUGAGAAGCUCAUGGAUCGUGUGGUUCAGUACGCCAAGGGCCUUCCCUUGGUUCUAGUGGUGCUGGGAUCUCUCCUAUAUCGUAGAAGCGAAGCUGAAUGGGAAAGCACAAUAUGUAAAUUGCAAAAAAGUCUUCAUAAAGAGAUCUACGAAAUACUAAAAAUAAGCUUUGAUGCACUGGAGGACAAUGAGAAGGCUAUCUUCCUUGAUAUUGCGUGUUUCUUCAAGGGAGAAAACAAAGAUUUUGUAACUGAAGUUUUGGAAGCAAGUGAUUUUGAUCCAAUUAUUGGAAUACAAGUUCUCAUUGAAAGAUCUUUGGUGAAUAUUGGAUACCUAGGCCAAUUGCAGAUGCAUGACGUGAUACAAUUGAUGGGUAGGAAUAUCGUUCAUAAAGAAUCUCCCAACGAGCCAGGAAAGCGUAGCCGAUUAUGGUCUCAUGAGGAUAUUCUCCAUGUUCUUAUGGAAAACACGGGAACUAAUGCAAUUCAAGGCAUAAAGCUAGAUUCGUUCGGACAAAAAGAUAUUUUGCUGAAUCCUGGAGCCUUUACAGAAAUGAAAAGGCUUAGACUACUUAUAAUACGUAAUGCACGCUUUUCAGAGGGUCCUAAAAGUUUGUCUAAUGAGCUAAGAUUUCUUGAUUGGACUGGAUACCCGUCACCAUCUCUGCCCUCCAAUUUUCAUCCCCAGAAACUUGUUACUCUCAACAUGUGUCACAGUAAAAUCAAGCAAUUCGAAGGAAUAAAGCUGGUAAAGUUAUGAUCUAAAUAUCUUAUUUCUUAUCUGGAGUUUAAAAUAAGAAUUCAGAUGCUUGGAUCAAUUUUUCUGGAUUUAAAAAAAUAUAUAUAUACUUGUAAAAAUGAAAUUAUAUGGGUAAUUCUUGGAAGCUAAUACAAUAUUGGUCCUUUCACCUUUAUUUUCCAGGUUUGUGAAAAUUUGAGAAAAAUAAAUUUUUCUUACAGUGAAUACUUGACGUGCAUCCCCGAUGUCUCAACGAUGGCAAAUCUUGAGAAUUUGAAUCUUAAUGGUUGUGGCAAUUUAGUUGAGGUUCAUCAAUCUCUUGGAUUUCUAAACAAACUGUCUAGUUUGGAUGUGAAUUAUUGCUCUAAACUUGGACGUCUUCCUAACCUGAAGUUGCCACUUCUUGAAUUCCUAAGACUUGGUGAGGGCACAAGUAUUGAGAAAUUUCCAAAUAUUUUGGGAGAAAUUCCUCGUUUAAGGCAAAUUAUUUUUGAUAACAGUCCCAUUCAAGAACUGCCUUCGUCAGUUGAAUAUCUCAUUGGGCUUGAAUUCAUACAAAUACAUUCAUGCAAGAAGCUUAGAGAUCUCCCUAGAAGCAUUUCUAAGUUGCCACGUCUGAAGUCUCUUGGUCUUUGGGGUUGCACAAACCUUGGAAGGUUUCCAAAAUCAUCGUCGUUGUCAUCAUCAACAAGUUCGGGCUUUCGAAGUGUUGAUAUGAGGUUCUCUGAUGGGUUUCCAGCUUUGGAAGUGUUGAUCAUCUUUAACUGUGAUCUAGCAGAAGUUGAUUUCCUCGAGAGUUUUCAUUGCUUUCCCAUGCUACAAUAUUUGGUUCUAUCAGGAAACAAUUUCGUUAGCAUCCCUGCAUGUAUGAUCACUAGAUUUACCAAUUUGCGAUCCCUUAUAGUGGUGGAAAAUCCUUCAUCGAUAAUUUAACGAUGAUGAUGCCUAUGGUAUAUAGAUUCUGUAGAAAAAUGGCAAUUAGAAUAAAAGUUAGAGGAGGGGAGUUACCAGAA